AGAGAGCCUGUCGUGUGCAAAUGCAGAAGAACCAAGAAAGCUGUAAAAUUGCCUCCCCUCCCAGCCAGCCCUGUUCGGGAGAAUGGAACCUUCCAUUAACCCUGUUUAAGGGACUGACUUUCCACCUCUGGGUACAGCCACCAUGGUCAAGUCCUGCAUCUGGACCUGGGCGGCAGGAUGGGACCUGGGCUGGGGAGAGGAUGAAUUCACGUGCACCGAAUGUCUCAAAGGCAGGCGUCUGUGAGCCUGCGCUAGUUAAGGAAAGGAUGAUUUCAAGGCAGCUGGGGGUGACAACAGUGUGAUGAUGUCAAUUCAAAUUGCAAGAUUUUUUAAUUGAAGUCACUCAGCCGUGUCCAACUCUUUGUGACCCCAUGGACUAUAGCCAGGUUUUUUCGUCCAUGGGAUUCUCCAGGCAAGAAUACGGGAGUGGUUUGCCAUUUCCUUCUCCAGGGGAUCUUCCCAACCCUAGGGAUCGAACCUGGGUCUCCGGCAUUGCAGGCAGACUCUUUAUCGUCUGAACCACCUGAGAAGCUUCAGAACCAUAGGCCAAAAUACUGGAGUGUGUAGCCUUUCCCUUCUCCAGGAGAUCUUCCCUACCCAGGGAUCGAACCCAAGUCUCCAGCAUUGAAGGGCGAUUCUUCACCGACUGAGCCACAAGCAAUCUCAAUACAAAGAAAUAAUCCAAAUCAAGGUCUUCGCACAAGGACUUGGAAUGUAGGGAGAACUCAGUAAAUAUAGUUGUUAUUAUGAAAUGUGCUAUUAAACUCUCUCUCCGAGGUCCUGCUCUAUGGUUUUGUUCUCAUUCUUUUAUGUUUUCUUUGUGUGCAGUCUUUUUAUAGGGCGUGUCCCUUUCUCAGGAACUGGUUUCAGAGUCGAGGCUGGGAUCCUGAAAGUGGG
rnacentral:lncRNA from 1 species